rnacentral:tRNA from 1 species
CCUGGUAGCUUAGUUGGUAAAGAAUCUGCCUGCAAUGCAGGAGACCCUGGUUCAAUUCCUGGGUUAGGA